UACGGAGGGUGCAAGCGUUGUCCGGAUUUAUUGGGUUUAAAGGGUGCGUAGGCGGCUAAUUAAGUCAGCGGUGAAAUUCCACAGCUCAACUGUGUGAACUGCCAUUGAUACUGGUUGGCUUGAGUACAGAUGAGGUAGGCGGAAUUGACAGUGUAGCGGUGAAAUGCUUAGAUAUUGUCAAGAACACCUAUUGCGAAGGCAGCUUACUAAACUGUAACUGACGCUGAGGCACGAAAGCGUGGGGAUCAAACAGG
rnacentral:rRNA from 1 species